AAAGAAAGAGUGGAAGGAAAUGACACGGAGGAGAUUAUCUGCGGUGAGCUAUCACUGCAGAAUAAAGUGCACUAAAGAACUGACCGGGUUGUCAAGGAAACCUUUUCUAAGGAAAUGAUAUUUUGGGGCUGGGGAUUUAGCUCAGUGGUAGAGUGCUUGCCUAGCAAACGCAAGGCCCUGGGUUCGGUCCCCAGCUCCGAAAAAUAGAAAAAAGAAAAAGAAAAAAGAAAAAAAAACUGAGGUAGGAAAUGAUAUUUUAGAUGCGAUCCCAGUGACAUUCACAAGGCGACAGUGGAUGAGAUUUGUCACCAUAACUACUAGCACGCUAUGAGAGCACUGCAAAGCAGCACCCGGUACUGAGAUUCAAUGCACAGGCAAACAAAAGCCCCAGAGUGCCGUCUAGAAUGUUUGAACAGAUUUUUUUUCUCCUUCUUGCUUUUGGUCAUGUUUUUGUUUUGCUUUGAAUUUUUUUUCUUCUUGCUUUCCUCUUCUAAGAACCUUUCAGACCAUAGUACAUUGCAAAUAUGUCUUUGGUCUUCGUUCCCGUUCCUUCUUCUAGCCACACAACUCCUAAAAUUCUUGUGUUUUCUUAGUGAUAAGGAGAUGUUGCGAUUCACAACCAAACCCUUUCAAUGUUCAUGAGUUUACGCUAAUGAAGUGACUUCGGUUGGGACCCCAAGGGACCUCAGAGGACAGAGAAUCCAGUGAGAAUUUUCAGCCUCACCCACUGAUCUUUGGGAAAGGUCACGGCGGGCUGGAGAUCCAACUACAGACUUGGACAAUGAGCUUGAGAGGUUCUGGACUGGGGAACACUCGGAGGUGCUGGGAGAGGGGCCACGCCUGGAGAAAUCACGAGAACUCCACCUGCUUCCUCCCAAGCCCUGUCCUGUGCUCUCUUCCACUUGACUGCUUCUGAGUCAAAUGACUUAUAAUAAACCAUUAACAGUAAGUAAGGCGGUGUCUGUGGAUUUGUCCAAGCUGCACAGGGCUCUGUACUGUGGCUGAGGUCUGAAGCAGGGGCUCGCUUACAAGAUGGAAGAAGGCUUAACCCAUGGUAUCCAUCCAAACCCUGGAAAUUAACGCCAGAACUAAACAGACACUCGACAGUUAAACUGCCAUCUUUGGUUGUCGAUGUGGAAAACACCUCAGAACUGGUGUCAGAAAGAGGACUUGAUAGCACAGCUGUGGCUCACAGAAGCAUGUGCCUUGGGAAGAAAAAAGAAAUGAACCGGAAGAGAUUCCUGAGUGGCUACAUUGUUACUCACGGUACCAACCACAGCUACAGUGUCCUUAUCAGCUACUAAAGCUGGGAACGGAACCCAGGACUCUGUGUGUGGUAACUACACACUCUACCCUGAGCAAAGCCCUCUAGCACUGAAUCUUGCUUCUUAGAUGCUGCCAGUAGUCAGGCGUGCAUGGGCUGAUGCAGGUUUCCCAAUCACAGAUGAUUCCUGAGGGAACUGACAGCCUCGAAGAUGGGAUAUGAACCACC
rnacentral:sRNA from 1 species